GGAGCACGUGUUGAGCUCCACGUCCUUGAAAUGGGAAGGCGGGUUAGUGGCAGUAAAUACGGUAACACCGCCUGCUGGGCGUACCCUUGUGGGUAUAUACGGUAACGAGGUUGCGCUCAUUAGGGGUAAAUAUGGGGCGGUGGUGUCCCGGCCCGGCUGCAGAGAAACCACGUUAAUCACAGAUUCACAGAAUCAAUUAGUUUGGGGAAGACGUCUGAGAUCAUCGAGUCCAACCUAUGACCGAACACCACCUUGUCAACUAGACCAUGGCCACGUCCACUGAGUGCCACGUCCGGUCGUUCCGUGAACAACCUCUAGGGACGGAGAAUGCACCACCUGCCUGGGCAGUCUGUUCCAAUGUCUAAUCACCUCUUCUGUGAAGAAAUUCCUUCUGAUAUCCAACCUGAACCUCCCCUGUCACACGAGGCUAAACCCCCAGCUCUCUCAGCCGUUCCUCACGGGACUUGAGCUCCAGACCUUUCCCUGGCUUCGUUUCCCUUCUCUGGUCACACUCCAGUGCCGAUCAUGCCACAGAGCGCGGGGAUAAAACCCAUCUGCGAGCCAUUUUCACUCGGUAAUGGUUUCACACCGGUGAAGGGAGCGGGAUCUCCCCUCACGGAGCGAGCGGGAGGCGGGAGCCCCUCGGCGCUUAUGGCUGUGGCGCUGGAACAGUGCCAGACUUUCAAGAAAAGGGGAACUUUGUUGGAUUCUCCCAGGUGGGCAUUUAGUUUUUGUUAGUUUGUUCCUGUCUUUCGAAAAGAAAGCUUAUUUCCCGAGAAGAGGGAAAACUCUAGCAGUCUUGGGAUUUUCCUCACAUCGCUUUCUGUCAGUAAGAAGGCUCGAAAUCCUGCAGAAAAGCCAGCCGGGCAUGUCUCAGUGUUCGCAGAUUCCUUGGCGUUCAAGCUGAAUGUGACCUCGAAGCACCUUUUCCUCGGGCAGUCUUCUGGCAGCAGGAGAUCUCUGAACUUUCCAAGCGCCCGGGCAGCACAGAGCGUUACAGGGAGAGUUCUCCAGGGAGAACACUGGAAUCCUGCGGUCAACACAUAUUGCAUAAUGGGCUGAGCUGAGGGAGGUACGGUGACACCCCCUCGUCCCUUUUCCAGCUGUGUCUGCUUAUAAAUGUCAACCCUUCCUCUGCAUCUUCCACAAAGGAAGCUCUCGUGGGAGAGCUGGACACUCAGAUUUAACUUCAGCCUCGAUUUUCUGAUUACUCCUCCUUUAUAUCAUGACUAAACAGCUCUUAAAAUUGCUCAUACAGGAUCCACAGAUCCUUAUUUCACAGCGGUGGCAUUUACAGAUUGUGUUUCCCGAGAUCACAGAUAUUUCCAAAGCAGUGAGGAAGAUGUGGGUCAGCACACAGCAGAGCUCUUAAAAGCGUGUCUUUAUUGCUACGUGUACAAAACUCGCUGGCGUUACACUGCAAAUGUCUACAGGAAGUUGAUGAUUCAUUGAGGAUCUAGUCUAAAAUGCUAUUACACAAGAACAGCCUCUGCCAAAUCCAUUGGCAGGAAAUAAUUCAAACUAUAAAUUGUGGCCAGAUUCCACAUAAAGCUUUAACUCAUGAGCAGACUCCUUGUGAAGCUAUAAUUUACUCCGAAUUUAUUUCUUUUAGAAUCAAAUUCUUUAAAAUUAUUUCAUUAAAUCAUAUAAUUAGCUCUUUUAAUAUUUGCAAUUGAUAAUUGAGGAAUUUAGUACCAUGAGAAGCUGGUCAGGCCUAUGAACUUGCUGCUCUGGGCAUUGAUGCCAGAUGAGGGAGUCCUUUGUUUUUUCACAACCUUUCACUAGAAAAUUGUACAUACUAGCAAAAUGGGAAUUGCUGAUGCUGUAGAAAACAGAUUUUCCCCUACUGUAAAUUCAUGUCAUGUUUGUCAUAUUUUUUUGAUAUUGCUUCUGAUCCUCCAGGUAAAAUGAUUCAAACAUUGGGACUUCUUUCUUGUCUGACUAACUUCUGACAAAGCAUCAAAUAGAUACUAAACUGAAGAACAUUGGAAGCAAAAGUGGAAACCAGAUUAUUAUGCAUGGAAAUCUUUACAAAGUCGUCCUGAAACCGAGGAGAAGGAUGCAUACUGAAUGACAUAAAUAAAAAACAUGAAUGGAAAUACAUUUCACAUUCCAAAGUAAGGAAUCCUUUCUGCUCAGAAAAGGCCAGGAGUGGAACAGCAUAAUGCUGGCAAGCAGGAGCCAAGGAUUAUGAGGAGUGCCCAGAGGAAGCUGACACAGCUCCUUGCUGUCCUGAGAAUAUGAAGCUGACCUGCAUGCAUCAUUCAUGUGCCUUCCAAAGGUGAAAUGAGGGGCAAAUAUUUUUCACCUCGUUACUUCACAAAACACCUGGAAAAGGCUUCUGAAGAGCCAUGGUGGCACACUUCUCAAACACAGGUGUGUCCUGGAGGGAACUGCCUGGAGUUGUGUGGACUGGAAUGAGCUCACAGACUGAAUGCUGUGUUACCAUAUCACUGAAAUUCUUACUGUGUGUAUGGAGUUCCUUGCAAAGGUAAAGCUCUCCCUAAGUGGUGACAAUUUUUUCUGCGAGAAUUUUUAAUCUAAUAAAACCCUAAUCCUGUUCUAUUGUACUCAUUGUUAUUUAAUCAAUCUAAAUCGAAACAGGAUAGGAUUAUAAAGACUAAAAUAGUUCUAAAAGGGACUAACUUGAACUCUCAGUCUUAUUAAAUAGAGUGAAAUAUUAUAGUUUUAUAAAGGUACAUACAGAUUGUAUAAACCUCAUCUGCACAAAUAUUUAGUUAUACAACUGCACACAUAUUUAGGUAUCCAACUAAAGUUAUAGCUUAAAAACACCUUUUUACUCUUCUGAAAUUUUAAUUUUUUUUUUCCUAACUUGAGUAUUUCCACAACUC